rnacentral:rRNA from 1 species
CCUACGGGUGGCAGCAGUGAGGAAUAUUGGUCAAUGGCCGAGAGGCUGAACCAGCCAAGUCGCGUGAGGGAAGACGGCCCUACGGGUUGUAAACCUCUUUUGUCGGGGAGCAAAGCGAGUCACGUGUGAAUCAUUUAGAGUACCCGAAGAACAAGCAUAGGCUAACUCCGUGCCAGCAGCCGCGGUACUACGGAGGAUGCGAGCGUUAUCCGGAUUUAUCGGGUUUAAAGGGUGCGCAGGCGGAGGUGCAAGUCAGCGGUAAAAUUGCGGGGCUCAACCCCGUACUGCCGUUGAAACUGCAUCCCUUGAGUGCGCGAGAAGUAUGCGGAAUGCGUGGUGUAGCGGUGAAAUGCAAAGAUAUCACGCAGAACUCCGAUUGCGAGGGCAGCAUACCGGCGCGCAACUGACGCUCAUGCACGAAAGCGUGGGUAUCGAACAGGAUUAGAUACCCUUGUAGUC